GGAAAGUCAUGGACUUGUUCCCACCUCAGAGCCCUUGGAGUUAAUGUGCAAUGCUGAGUCAGUCUGGGACAGUGACAUGUCUACUAUCUUGCUGCUGCUACAUCUGAUACCACCAUCUGCACAAGGGCAAAAGAGACUAGGAAAGAUGUCUGCAUCUCAAGCUGUCGAUAACCUCAUCAAAUUCCCAAAGGCUGGAACCAGUGUACAGCAGCAUCUAGACAACAUCACCCGAAGCAGUCAGCCCUACCUUCUUGCUCAGGGAUCCACAAGAAGCAGCAUUCACACCUUGUGAUUGACAAGCAUGCACUUCCAUAUAAAGCGACAGGUUCAGUAGGAGCCCUUGAUGAACUCUUUAGGGCCCAUUAUGUCUUUGGUACAUCAUACAGUUCAUCCCAGACCAACUUUUUCACUUU
ensembl:lncRNA